rnacentral:scRNA from 1 species
CUGGUCUUGGGUCCUGACUGCUUGGGUCCAGUCCCUCGUGGUUGCCCCGUUAAGACCUACAUUAUUUCGGGGCAGAGCCUCGGCAGCUGCAGGUGUGAGCCUCCACCCAGAUUCUGAUGCUCAUGUAUGAUGCUGCACACAAAA